AGAGUUUGAUUAUGGCUCAGGAUGAACGCUGGCGGCGUGCUUAACACAUGCAAGUCGAACGAAGCAGCAGAGACAGAAACCUUCGGGCGGAAGACUUUGUUGACUGAGUGGCGGACGGGUGAGUAACGCGUGGGUAACCUGCCUUACACAGGGGGAUAACAGUUAGAAAUGACUGCUAAUACCGCAUAAGACCACAGCACCACAUGGUGCAGGGGUAAAAACUGAGGUGGUGUAAGAUGGGCCCGCGUCUGAUUAGCUAGUUGGUGGGGUAAGAGCCCACCAAGGCGACGAUCAGUAGCCGACCUGAGAGGGUGACCGGCCACAUUGGGACUGAGACACGGCCCAA
rnacentral:rRNA from 1 species